rnacentral:tRNA from 1 species
UGCCCCCUCGUCCAACGGCAAGACACAUGACUCUGGAUCAUGGUAUCGGGGUUCGAAUCCCUGGGGGGCAACCA